ensembl:lncRNA
GUUGAUUCAGCCUCUGCCCAAGGGAUUGAUGUGGGGAGCCAAAUUUGGCUGCGUGGCUACAGGGAACUCGCCGUGAGAAGCCUUCUAUUUGGGAAAGUAGGGUGUGAAGGGGGAGCUCACAGCUGUCGGACCACAGCCACACCACUUUCAACCAAACUUUUCGUCUUGUUUAAAUUCAGACCGACCACAAAAUGUUCAUUCAUUUCAUACUAACGAGGUUCGAUUCGUGAACGAAUCCUUCCUUUGAAUCCGACAUAUAAAUGAACCACAAAAUGAAUCUUAAUGAUUCAUUCGCGAAAGCGAUGCUUGAGUCAACUCACUGAAUCAAUGAACUAAGAAUCUCCUUCUAACCUAUUCGAUUACGCACAAAACCACACAUGAAACCAGAUGUGGUUUCAAUAAACAGUAUUUUAAUAAAACGGAAAACCAGCGCCUUUGAUUAUUUUUUCAUUAAAUAUCGCGUUAUUGAAAUGUUUAGAUCGUGUAAUAUGCCACGCUGAUGGGAACGACGUGAUAACGUAAUGGCGAAAAGAACCACUGAAUCGGUUGUUUGAAACAAAGUUCGAAAUGAUUCUUUCCGCUCGAAAAAAAAUAUACGUAUGUAUACUCACGCAUCUCAUCACUAAUGUAAAGCGUUAUCAAACUAGACUGGCCAAAGUAGGCCUAAAAUCUGAAUGCGAGAAGUGCUGGUGAUCGCGAAAAAAUUAUCUUUAGGCUACCUGUAUGACCACAGCAUUUCGAUAAAAUAAACAACAGCUCGAAGUCAGCUGGCAGUAACCUAUGGAAUACUUCGUAGUAAUGAACACUUUGCGAAAGAUAGGAAUUCCCUAGAUUUUUCCCGAACUUUGCAAACACAAAAGCCCAGUCUAGGCUACAUUUGACAGAAAGCAGCUCAGUGGAUUGCCACAGGGAGUCUGACACCACCGGGACUUUAAGAUGCAUGCAAACAUCUGCUACUGUGAGAGUCUCAUCUGCUCAUCCUCAUGUUUCCCAAAAGAAGGGCUGGGAUUCAGACGGGAUUAUUUGUGGCAGAUCGGACAGAGGAAAUGCAUGGUAUGCCACGUAAAAACAAAACAACAUUCUGAUAAAUGUGUUUAGCCAUGGAUAGGCAGCUGGAGAAUGGUGAGACAGUUGCAUUUCCUGCUGAGAGACAGACUCUAUGUGUGUUGUUUCUUUAACACUGUGGCAUGUGCUGCUCUACUCUACCAAUUUUGUCUUUUAGUGUUUCUGCUACACUGGAACACCCAAGAAGAAUGAGACCAACCAAUAGAUCUACAUUAUGGUUUGCUAUUUUAUUUCAACAAAUCACCCAAAG